UACGUAGGGUGCAAGCGUUGUCCGGAAUUAUUGGGCGUAAAGAGCUCGUAGGCGGUCUGUCGCGUCUGCUGUGAAAACUCAGGGCUUAACCCUGAGCUUGCAGUGGGUACGGGCAGACUAGAGUGCGGUAGGGGAGACUGGAAUUCCUGGUGUAGCGGUGGAAUGCGCAGAUAUCAGGAGGAACACCGGUGGCGAAGGCGGGUCUCUGGGCAGUAACUGA
rnacentral:rRNA from 1 species